UUUUUUUCUUUUUGAAAAAAGUUUGGGAAAUGGGACAGAACUUUGAAAUUCUUAGAUAAAGAGUAAUAUAUAUCAAUUGUCUUUAAUUAAAAAAACUUUGGUUUCUUAAAGUUUAAUGCUCAAGUGUGUAAAAUAUACAGCUAUUCUUUAAUUAAGCAUGGUCCUUUCCAUUUUUUUCAGAUAAUUUUAAUUUAGUCGUAUGGAUUCAUAUGGAGACUCACAUACCACUAGAAUAUGUGGCUUACAUAUAUGCUACAUGCAUCUCCCUUGUUUAUGAGUUCUGCAUUCGCCAAGGAGAAUUAGUGGUUAGAACAAAACAUGAUCCUAUCAUCGGGAAGUCUCCAAGUUUGAAGCCCUCUCUUCUUAAACUAAUGGUGUUAUCGAAGUGGCUAAUGCAAUGUCCUUAAAAGCUCUGUAUGUAAGUAGUUUUUCUGCAUAUUUGUGAUACAUAAAUUCUGUUGUUUGUGUGAUCUUCUGUUCGUGAUGUAAAAAUUUCGGUUUCUUUUUCUCUUCUGUACCCUAUUCUUCGGUUCUACAUAUUGUUUGUGCAUUGGUUUGGAUGUCAGUGUGAUCAAGAGACAAGAACUUUCAUUUUUGAAGAUGAAUAACAGAUAUUUGUCACAGUAAUGUGAUUACUGCAGUGAUUCAACACAUUACUGUUGCUAUUGAAGUUCAUUUUAAUGUCCAACAAAUCAAAUGGAAGCAUGGUUUGUCUCUCAAAUCAUGUCGAACAUGAAAAUUACAUGAUGGAACUUAAUGGAAAUGAAGCAUGUUGUAACACCCGUUCCUUGUUUGUUUGAAUUUAUUUAUGUUUAUCUAUUUAAUUGUUUAUGUGUGAAUUUGUUUUAAUUAGCAUUAUUUGAAAUAAUGUAUAAUUCUAUUUAUUUAAAAAAAAUUAUAAGGGAUUAUCUAUCUUUAUCAUAUUAUAUAUAUUUCUUUUGGGCAAAACUCAGUGAGGACGCUGAUUCUCUAAAGGGGUGUAUGUAACACCCUAGGCAAAUCUCACAUCAACAAAGCACGGGAGAGAUGCUAGGUUUAUAAGGGUAAUCCGCACUUUGAUUGGUAAGACACAUUUUGGAGAGUAUGGAUGCCCUAUAAACAAAACCGUGUGAGUCUUGUUAAGGCCCAAAACGGAAAAUAUAUUGUUAGGUCUUGAUUGAGUCAUGACAUAUGAUAUUAGAGUGGCUCUGCGUGUACUCUUGAACAAUCGUGGGGUAAACCUCAACGUAACCUCAGCAAGGACGCUGAAUCCCUAAGGAGGGGUGUAUGUAACACCCUAGGCAAAUCCUACCCCACAUCGACAAAGCACGAGAGAGAUAUUGAGUUUAUAAAGGGUGAUCAACAUCUUAAUUUGUAAGACGUGUUUAGAGGUGUUUAGGUGCGUUUUGGGGUGUAUUGGCUAGGGGUAGGCAAAAAAACUGUGGUCUUAAAAACACCGAACCGAACCGGCGGUUUUUUCUAAUUUGGAUCGGUUUUUAUUUUUAAAAAAACCAAAGUAUAUCAUUUGUAAAAAAAACCGAAAUGUCGGUUCGGUAUUCGGUUCAUUCAGCUGAACCAAAAAACCGAACCAAAAAACAUAAUUAAUUUUAGAUUUUAUUCAAAUCGACAUGUGUUGAAUUUUUUUUUAUAGAUCCAAAUAUUGAGUUGGAAAAUGCCUAAAGUUGAUGCUAAUAUUGAUGAAGAUGAGAGAAUGUUGUUGGCGUUUGUUUCUAAAUUUUCUUUUUAUUUUGUGUUGUAAGUUGUAAUUGUUGUUAUUUUUAUUUGUCUUUACAACAUUAUGAUUAUGUUUAUGUAGAUGGAGUAUUGGAGUUUGGUUAUAUAUUUUGAAAUUUUAAUAUUUCAUAUUUUGUGAGUACCUUAUUAGUAGUUAGUAAGAUAUUAGUGAUAAGAUGUGUUUUGAAUACUUUGUAUUUAUUAUUAAUAUUUGUAAUGAAAUUAGGAUAAACUAAUUGUUGAAAAAAAUUAUUACAUUCAUGAAGCCCAAUAGGGUAAAAAUUUGAAAUUUCAAAAUAAGUCCAUAACCGAAAAAAUCGAACCGAACCGAUCCGAAAAAAUCUGUUUGAGUUCGGUUCUUUUUAUAAAAUAACUGAUUUAAAUUGGUUCUACUUAAUUUCGAUCCUAACCGAACCUAAUCGUGUCUACCCCUAGUAUUGGCAAGACUUUUUGGGGGGGGGGGAGGGGGAAUCUUAGUGAGGACAUUAUGUUCUUAAGGGGGUAUGUAACACCUUAGGCAAAUAUCACAUCGACAAAGCACAAGAGAUAUAUUAGAUUUAUAAAGAGUGACUCACAUCUUAAUUGGCAAGACGCGUUUUAGGGUAUAUGGACACCCUAGAAACAAAAUCACGCAGCCAAGUCUAGGUUGGACCAUGACAGAUGAUAUCAAAGUGGCUUUGCGUGUCCAUUUGAAUAAUAGUAGUGGAGCAAACCUCAGCAAGGACGCUGAGUCCCUAAAGGGGGUGUAAGCAAAUCUCAUCCCACAUCGACAAAUCAUCGCAGAGGUGUUGGGUUUAUAAGGGUGAUUUACAUCUUAAUUGACAAAACGCGUUUUAGGGUGUAUGGAUGCAUUUUGGGGUGUAUUGGCAUGAUAAUUUUUUUUUUUUUUUUGACAAAUCUUAGCGAGGAUGCUAAGUUCCUAAGGAGGUGUAUGCAUUUUGGGGUGUAUUGGCAGGACAAUUUUUUUUUUUUUAACAAACCUUAGCGAGGAUGCUGAGUUCUUAAGGGGUUGUAUGUAACACCCUAGACAAAUGUCACAUUGAUAAAAUAUGGGAGAGAUGUUGGGUUUAUAAGGAGUAAUCCACACUUUAAUUAACAAAAUGUGUCUUGAGGUGUAUAGGUGCUCCAAAAACAAACUCGUGCGGGCCUUGUUAAGGUCCAAAUCAGACAUACCUUACCAAGUUUGGGUUAGGUCAUGACAUAUGGUAUUAGAGCAGCUCUGUGUGUCCUCUUGAACGAUGGUGAGACGACCCUCAAUGAGAACGCUGAGUUUCUAAGGAGAGGGGGUGUAUGUAACACCUUAGACAAAUUCUACAUCAACAAAGCAUGGGAAAUAUGUUGAGUUUGUAAGGGAUGACCCACACCUUAACUGCCAAGACGCGUUUUGAGAUGUAUGGACGCCUCAAAACAAAACUAUAUAGGCCUUGUUAAGGUUCAAAGUGAACCAUAUCUUGUUAGGUCUGAAUUGGACCAAGACACAUGCUAUGCAAUUGAAUAUGUGCGAUCUAUCAUUUCCCUAAUGUCGGAAAAUGAUCAAGAAAUCCAUCAUCAGAUUGACAAAUUAGGACCUAAAGUUAGAACAAAGAAAAAGAGGAGGACAGGGAUAUGAAAGAAGGGAAACUGACAUUUAGCACGAUUAUCAAAAACCACGAAUGGUAUAACAUAGUUAGAAAGCGCUUACACUUACUCGAAAAAGAUUGAAGGAAAGAAAGACUAUAGCUUAUAAAAAUUCCUUGUAUGACGAGCUUCGGCUGGUGGUCAUGCUGGAGCUAUCAGGAACAAGAUAUAUUGUUUUCAACUCUUGUAAACAUGACCAGGCAUGGAACCUUGUUCAUGAUUGGAGACUGCAGAAUCUUUCAAGGACCGUCUUGCUGGAUAUGGAAGUGAAAAUGCAGGCUGUAGAAUGAUUAGCAGUUCCCCAAUGCAAACAUCUGCACAUUAUAAAAUUCAGAUUUGGUGCUAUAACACUUUGGAUUGCUGUAAUUUGACACUAUAUUAUAGUCAUUGUAUACGGCCAACUCUAGAUUUUAUAACAUGCAGACAUCUGUGAUGGAGGACUCGGAGAAUGAUAGUCCAAGAAUUCCCAGCAAAGGUACUCAGGAGUUUCAGGAGUUAAAACUGGUUGUAAGUUCAGUAUUUUCAUGGCUAGAGGCAAAAGGCUUUAAGAUGCAAGUUCACCACUAUUCACAAUCACUGCUAGAAGUAAAUAACUUUAUUCUAAUGACGAUACGGAAAACUAAAAUUCCUAACAAAUUUCCACCCACAUAACCCUGUUGGAAUGAUAAAUAAGUCUGAUAGUUAUUAUGCUGUCAUGAAUGGAAAUGAACACAGGAUUGUUGUAUACUUGUAUAUAGAAACUCGACCUUCCUUGCAUAAUUCUCAAACCACAUUAAGAUCAAAUUAUCAGACAAUUGGAACAGUGGCAGAAGAGAGAUAAGAUAAAGAAAUCUCGGAACAUUAUCAUUUCGUCAGUAAAAAGAAUGAUAUCCAUAUCUACAAUAAACAGUUGACUACAUGCUGCUGGGACAUAUAGCUCUUUAAAAGCCACAUUAUUUCUACGGACCGAGUCAAAUAAAUGUACAAGAACCAGAAAAGACUUCAGUGUCCUAAACAUACCAAAUUCUGUGCAAACUCAUGUCGUUCUGUCCUGUUAUUAGAAUUCAGAUUGCUACUCUAAAUAAAGGAACCAACAUGAAUUUUUCUGCCAUCCAAUUACAAUUAUCAGAACUGCCUGUCACUCGAAAACUGCACAAAUAAGCAAGCAUUUAAUCACUCCUCUUAAAACAACAAUUUCAUAAUGUAGCACUUUAACGUAAAGUAAAUGCAGUCACCAAUGUAUACUCACAGGCUGGAUUACUAGAUUCAUUCUCAUUUUUUCUGGAUGAAUUGUAAGUUACAAGACCAUUAACUUCUGAGGCUUGACAAUUAUCC
rnacentral:lncRNA from 1 species